rnacentral:tRNA from 1 species
AGCCCUGCAGGGGGCUCGAACCCCYAACCUUGUGAUUAAGA